CCUGAACUCGAAUAGGGCCCAAGCCAGCCAGGAAGGAGGAGGCAGCCAGAGUGUUCUCUGCAGCAGAAGACCACUUGCUGCCCUGCUCAACCCAGCCCAGCAUUUGCCAGAUUCUGGGAGGACUGUGGUGGCAACAUUGAAAUCUCUACCAGUCUGGAGACUCUCUCUGUAACCUCUGUGGACAACCAUAUCCUUUCCUCCGAUGUCCUGGUUUUAGGAGUGCCCAGGACUGGACGCAGUAUUCCAACUGAGAACAGAAUGGAACUACUGAGUGAGGAGACGUCGCGCCAGCAAGGAAGUACCGUAGGUGGUGGGGGAGAGUCAAAGACCUUCUAUACUAGCUGACCCUGCAC